rnacentral:rRNA from 1 species
UACGGGGGGGGCAAGCGUUGUUCGGAAUUACUGGGCGUAAAGGGCUCGUAGGCGGCCAACUAAGUCAGACGUGAAAUCCCUCGGCUUAACCGGGGAACUGCGUCUGAUACUGGAUGGCUUGAGGUUGGGAGAGGGAUGCGGAAUUCCAGGUGUAGCGGUGAAAUGCGUAGAUAUCUGGAGGAACACCGGUGGCGAAGGCGGCAUCCUGGACCAAUUCUGACGCUGAGGGGCGAAAGCCAGGGGAGCAAACGGG